CUGGGCUCUUGCCUUCUAUUUAUUCGAAGGCUCCAAAGAGAUGGAUCUGAGGAUCUCUUUGGACUUCUGUUGGAUCGUCCAAAGGGAAAGUUACUAGUCCAGCAUUUGGACCAACAAAGAAAAUUGACAAAUUAUUUCCCUCUUUUCCUUUCUUUUCCUUAAUAGAAAUAGUAACAGGCAUGUUAUAAAAGUUAAAACAGGAAGGUAUAUAUGUUCCAUUGAAUAUGAA
rnacentral:lncRNA from 1 species